rnacentral:rRNA from 1 species
AAGUCGAACGGAGUAGCAAUACUUAGUGGCAGACGGGUGAGUAACAUGUGGGUAUCUUCCCUUUGGUGAGGAAUAACACGAGGAAACUUGUGCUAAUACCUCAUAAGUCUUUACGGAGAAAGCUUUAUGCGCCAAUGGAUGAGCCCGCACUUGAUUAGUUAGUUGGUAGAGUAAUGGCCUACCAAGACUUUGAUCAAUAGCUGAUUUGAGAGGAUGAUCAGCCACAUUGGGACUGAGACACGGCCCAAACUCCUACGGGAGGCAGCAGUAGGGAAUCUUGCACAAUGGAGGAAACUCUGAUGCAGCGAUGCCGCGUGAGUGAAGAAGGCCUUUGGGUUGUAAAGCUCUUUCGUCGGGGAAGAAAAUGACUGUACCCGAAUAAGAAGGUCCGGCUAACUUCGUGCCAGCAGCCGCGGUAAUACGAAGGGACCUAGCGUAGUUCGGAAUUACUGGGCUUAAAGAGUUCGUAGGUGGUUAAAAAAGUUGGUGGUGAAAUCCCAGAGCUUAACUCUGGAACUGCCAUCAAAACUUUUUAGCUAGAGUAUGAUAGAGGAAAGCAGAAUUUCUAGUGUAGAGGUGAAAUUCGUAGAUAUUAGAAAGAAUACCAAUUGCGAAGGCAGCUUUCUGGAUCAUUACUGACACUGAGGAACGAAAGCAUGGGUAGCGAAGAGGAUUAGAUACCCUCGUAGUCCAUGCCGUAAACGAUGUGUGUUAGACGUUGGAAUUUAAUUUCAGUGUCGCAGCGAAAGCAAUAAACACACCGCCUGGGGAGUACGACCGCAAGGUUAAAACUCAAAUGAAUUGACGGGGACCCGCACAAGUAGUGGAGCAUGUGGUUUAAUUCGAAGAUACGCGCAGAACCUUACCAACACUUGACAUGUUCGUCGCGACUCUAA